AUUGAACGCUGGCGGCAGGCCUAACACAUGCAAGUCGAGCGGAUGAAGGGAGCUUGCUCCUGGAUUCAGCGGCGGACGGGUGAGUAAUGCCUAGGAAUCUGCCUGGUAGUGGGGGAUAACGUCCGGAAACGGGCGCUAAUACCGCAUACGUCCUGAGGGAGAAAGUGGGGGAUCUUCGGACCUCACGCUAUCAGAUGAGCCUAGGUCGGAUUAGCUAGUUGGUGGGGUAAAGGCCUACCAAGGCGACGAUCCGUAACUGGUCUGAGAGGAUGAUCAGUCAACGGGGAAAUGGAAAAGGGUCCAGACCCCUAGGGGGGGCAGGAGGGGGGAAUUUGGGAAAAUGGGGGAAAGCCUGAUCCAGCCAUGCCGGGGGUGUGAAGAAGGUUUUCGGUUUGUAAAGACUUUUAAGUUGGGAGGAAGGGCAGUAAGUUAAUACCUUGCUUUUUUGACGUUACCAAAAAAAAAAGCACCGGCUAACUUCGU
rnacentral:rRNA from 1 species